AUGGAGGUUUCAGAAGAUCGUAGAGUUCCUUUGGUCGCAUACAAACUGAAAGGAGGAGCCGGUGCAUGGUGGCAUCGCGUUCAAGAGGAGCGCAGGCUCAGAGGAGAACCUCGUGUUAGAACUUGGCGACAAAUGAAAGGCCUCUUGAAAGGGAGAUUUUUGCCCGAUGAUUAUGACCAGAUCCUAUUUAUCCAAUUUCAAAAUUGUGCUCAAGGAAAUAGGACUGUUUCAGAUUACACGGAGGAGUUUCUAAGGCUACAAGUGAGGUGCAACCUUGCUGAAACUGAAGAGCAACAAGUUGCAAGGUACAUCAAUGGUCUCAAUGAUGCUAUUCAAGAUCGAUUGAUGAUGCAACAAAUCUGGUCCGUUGAUCAAGCACAAGCUCUAGCCUUAAAGGCCGAGAGGUUUGUGAGGAUGAGAAAGACAACUAAGGCUCCAUAUCCUCCAUAUUCUCAUACCGAAGGCUCAUCUAGGAGCCAACCUAACAGAGUGGAAGAAAAGACCACUCCACCAAAGACAAAACAGCCCAUCCCGAAGCAAACUAGAGGCAAGGGUAAGGCAAAUGAAGGCCCAAAGUGCUAUAAAUGUGGUAAAGAGGGACACAUAUCCAGCGGCUGCCCACUAAGGAAAUUUGUUAACACGACUAUCCAUGAUGGUGAAAGCGAUGAGGAAGAAUACGAAUCUGAAGAUGUAGACGGACAAGAGGUUUGUCAAGAAGAAGGUGAAGAGGUGGUAUGUGUGAUCCAGCGUGUCCUAUGUUCCACACCACAACUCGAUGAUACACAACGGAAGAAAAUAUUUGAGAGCAAAUGCACGGUGAAUGGCAAGGUAUGCAAACUAGUGAUUGAUAGUUGCAGCUGCGAGAAUCUUAUCUCCCAGAAGUUGGUGGACCAUUUAAAGCUUGAAACCCAUGAUCAUCCAAAUCCCUACACUAUUGGAUGGAUCAAGAAAGGAGUGAAUAUGAGGAUCACCAAACAAUGCAACCUGCCACUUUCUUUGGGUAAGCAUUAUCGCUCAAAUGUGUUGUGUGAUGUGGUUGACAUGGAUGCCAGCCAUGUUCUUCUUGGGAGACCUUGGCAAUUUGAUGUGGAUACUACACACAAGGGCAAGGAAAAUUCUUACUCUUUCAUUUGGAACAAGAGAAGGAUCAUUAUCUUACCAAACAAACCCAAAGGUAAUACCUCUAAGGAGGAGGGGAAAACUAUGUUAACUAUCUCCCAUACCUCUCAUGAGUUUAUGGAAGACUUGAAGGAGGCAGAUUUGUGUGCUGCACUUGUUGUAAAGGGAGAAGAGCACCUGACUGUUGAAAUUCCAGCAAAGGUACGUGGUUUAUUGGCAGAAUUUCAAAACAUACUUGGGGAGCCACAUGGCUUGCCACCGAUGAGAGGAAUUCAACAUAGAAUUGACUUAAUUCCGGGAGCAAGUCUUCCUAAUCUUCCACACUAUCGAAUGAGCCCAAAGGAGCAUGGUAUAUUGAAGGAGAAAGUGGAGGAAUUGUUGCAAAAGGGGCACAUUCGAGAAAGUAUUAGCCCAUGUGCUGUACCAGCCCUACUCGCGCCAAAGAAAGAUGGAUCUUGGCGCAUGUGUACGGACAGUAGAGCCGUUAACAAGAUCACCGUAAGGUAUAGAUUCCCUAUUCCCCGUCUGGAUGAUAUGUUGGAUCAGCUUAGUGGAGCAAGAGUGUUCACAAAGCUAGAUUUAAGAAGUGGAUAUCAUCAAAUCCGUAUAAGACCCGGGGAUGAAUGGAAGACCGCCUUCAAGACAAAGGAAGGGUUGUUUGAAUGGCUAGUCAUGCCAUUUGGACUCUCAAAUGCACCAAGUACCUUUAUGCACUUAAUGAAUCAAGUCCUUAGACCCUUCUUAUCCCACUUUGUUGUGGUCUAUUUCGAUGACAUCUUGAUCUAUAGCAAGGAUGAGGAUGAACACUUUGAUCACAUUCGGAAGGUGCUAGAAGUACUAAGGGAAAAUGAGCUCUACGUCAACUUGAAGAAAUGUGUUUUCCUGCAAACACAACUUCUUUUCCUAGGAUUCGUCAUAACAUGUGACGGCAUUCGUGUUGAUGAUUCUAAGGUUGAAGCAAUCCAAGAAUGGCCAACUCCUAAGACCAUUUUUGAGGUAAGAAGCUUUCAUGGCCUUGCAACUUUCUAUAGGCGAUUUGUUAAGAAUUUCAGCACUAUCAUGGCACCAAUUACCGAGUGUUUGAAGAAAGGAAAGUUCCAAUGGGCAGAAGCAGCUGAAGCUAGCUUCAAUGAGAUUAAACAAAAGCUAUCACAAGCUCCUGUCUUGGUACCACCUGAUUUCAACAAGACUCUUGAGUUGGAGUGUGAUGCAAGUGGAGUAGGCAACUAG
rnacentral:rRNA from 1 species